rnacentral:lncRNA from 1 species
UUUCUUUCUCUUUUUUCUUUUGGAAGCUUCUUCCGUAUCAUGUAUUUUCCCGUGACUCACUUCCUCCCACAUUCACAUCUACAUCACAUGACAAGAUACUAGGAGUCGUAGAGUACAAGGCAUGACAACAUUUGUAAACCACUACCAAUUAAUCUUUGAUGCUUGCUACCAUUGCUUCAACUUUGUUGGUAUCAUACAAGGAUUCAAAACAAAAUGAGACAUAUGUGGCGUUUAUUUUUUAACUUAAUUAAUUAAGUUAAUUAGAAGUAUUUAUUUUUAUAACUUAAUACGACUUUUUAGAUAAUUUUGACUUAAUAAAAUAAGCCAAUUUUUUUUACUUUUACUCAAUGGAGAAAUAUAAAUUAAGUCAAUUACUUGCUAAUGUCAAAAAUAUCCCUAUUUUAUAAUUUAUUUUUCAUAUCUAUCCCAAAACUCACUCAUAGAUAUUUACCCCACAUAAAAAUAUCCUUAUUUUUUCUUUCUUAUAUUAUAUACGAUAAAAUUUGAAAUUUAUGAUAUUUUAUAUAUUAAAAUUCUAAAAUAAUUAUGUAUUCACUUGAAUAUAAUUUUACUUAUAAAUAUUAAAAUAUUGUGGUAUUUAAUAUAUUAUUUAUUUGACAUUCAAAUUUAAUAAAGAUACAAAUGUAAAAAUACAUAUUUUCAGUUUUUUAAGUUGAAAAAAACAAACAACUUAAUACUUGUUUUCUGAGAUUCAGACGAAAAAACAAACAUAUUAUUCAGAUUCAGACAUUCAGAUCUAUUCAAAAUUCAGACUAAUUCAGGUCUAUUCAGAUUUCAGACAAAAAAACAAACGCCACCAUAGUCCAACUUAUAUCGAGGAUCAAGGACAACUGCAAUAAUCAAUAAUUUAUUCAUGUUUUCCACCGAACCCCAAUAUUUAUCAAACUUUGUCUUCAUUUUCUUUGCCAUUGCACUCAACAUAGAAUCUGAAUCUUGAGACUUCGAUAGAGAUUGCAUAGUACUCACCUAAAAGAACACAAACAAAAG